GCCUAACACAUGCAAGUCCGAGCGGCAGCACAAGUGAGUUUACUCAUGAGUGUGGCUGAGCGGCGGACGGGUGAGUAAUGCCUAGAGGAUCUGCCCAGUCGAGGGGGAUAACAGUUGGAAACGACUGCUAAUACCGCAUACGCCCUACGGUGGNGAAAGAGGGGGACCUUCGNGUGCCUCUCGCGACUUGGAUGAACCUACGGUGGGAUUAGCUAGUUGGUGAGUGUAAUGGCUCACCAAGGCUGACGAUCCCAUAGCUGUUCUGAGAGGAUGAUCAGCCACACUGGGACUGAGACACGGCCCAGACUCCUACGGGAGGCAGCAGUAGGGGAAUAUUUGCACAAUUGGGGGAAACCCUGAUGCAGCCAUGCCGCAGUAGUGUGAAGAAGGCCUUCGUGGUUGUAAAGCACUUUCAGAUAGGGAGGAAAGGUUGUAAGUUAAUACCUNUGCAGCUGUGACGUUACCUACAGAAGAAGGACCGGCUAACUCCGUGCCA
rnacentral:rRNA from 1 species